UAACACAUGCAAGUCGAACGGCAGCACGGGCUUCGGCCUGGUGGCGAGUGGCGAACGGGUGAGUAAUACAUCGGAACGUGCCCUGUAGUGGGGGAUAACUAGUCGAAAGAUUAGCUAAUACCGCAUACGACCUGAGGGUGAAAGCGGGGGACCGCAAGGCCUCGCGCUACAGGAGCGGCCGAUGUCUGAUUAGCUAGUUGGUGGGGUAAAAGCCUACCAAGGCGACGAUCAGUAGCUGGUCUGAGAGGACGAUCAGCCACACUGGGACUGAGACACGGCCCAGACUCCUACGGGAGGCAGCAGUGGGGAAUUUUGGACAAUGGGGGCAACCCUGAUCCAGCAAUGCCGCGUGUGUGAAGAAGGCCUUCGGGUUGUAAAGCACUUUUGUCCGGAAAGAAAUGGCUCUGGUUAAUACCCGGGGUCGAUGACGGUACCGGAAGAAUAAGCACCGGCUAACUACGUGCCAGCAGCCGCGGUAAU
rnacentral:rRNA from 1 species